rnacentral:lncRNA from 1 species
CACCUAUAUAUUAAUAUGGGAUGCAAUAAGUUGGUAAGUUGCAUGCAAUAUUAUAUUGUAUGCUUUAAAUACAUAAAAGUUCUAAAUCUAUGGCGCGUGUUUGUGUGUUUUUGUAAAUGUUUCGAAUAAAAUUCUAGCUCCAUGUACAUGCUAGAAUAUUGUAAAAUGGUUCCACUUUUCAUCUGUGAAAAUCACUGGACUGGCUGCUAUAUAUAUCUUUGUGUAAUAUUGUUGGUUUUGCUAAUAAACAUUAGUGUGAAAUGUGUGUUUUAUUAUAGCUACAUUGGUAAAAUUCAAUGGAACAUUUUGAAUCGAAAGACACGUUACUACUUAUAUCAACACGUACAGCAAACAGUGGAGGUGGAUAUAAACCUAAUUUCCUCCUAAUCCAAAACUGUUCAGAUUGGUCAAUGGAAG